GCUGCAUGACAAAUAUAUGGCAUAUGUGACCGACAGUUUUGCAAAUAACUCUCUCUUUCACAAGGCUUUGAAAGAGGCAUUUGAGGUCUUCUGUAACAAAAUUGUUGCUGGCUGUUCUAGUGCAGAACUCCUUGCCUCUUAUUGUGAUAAUAUCCUUAAGAAGGGCGGGAGUGAGAAACUCAGUGAUGAUGCUAUUGAGGAGACAUUAGAUAAGGUGGUGAAGCUUCUUGCGUAUAUCAGUGACAAGGACCUUUUUGCUGAGUUCUACAGGAAGAAGCUUUCUCGGCGACUGCUUUUUGAUAAAAGUGCCAAUGAUGACCAUGAAAGGCUUAUCUUAACAAAGUUAAAGCAGCAGUGUGGUGGACAGUUUACGUCAAAGAUGGAGGGAAUGGUGACGGACUUGACUCUGGCGAAGGAAAAUCAGAGUCACUUUCAGGAAUAUCUCAGUAACAACUCGGCAGCUAAUCCCGGAAUUGAUUUGACUGUCACAGUUCUUACAACUGGCUUUUGGCCUAGUUAUAAAUCUUCUGAUCUGAGUCUCCCUGUGGAAAUGGUGAAGUGUGUAGAAGUCUUCAAGGAAUUUUAUCAGACGAAAACGAAACACAGGAAAUUGACCUGGAUUUAUUCACUGGGUACAUGCAAUAUCAAUGGCAAGUUUGAAUCAAAAACUAUUGAACUUAUUGUGGGAACUUACCAGGCUGCUGCUCUAUUACUGUUUAAUGCUUCAGAUAGAUUGAGUUACUCAGAUAUCAAAAGUCAGUUAAAUUUGGCUGAUGAUGACUUGAUCAGAUUGCUUCAAUCCCUGUCAUGUGCUAAGUAUAAAAUUCUGACCAAAGAGCCUAGCAAUAGAACUGUUUCGUCAACGGAUCAUUUUGAAUUCAACUCCAAGUUCACUGACAGAAUGAGGAGGAUUAGGAUCCCUUUGCCUCCGGUUGAUGAAAGGAAAAAAGUGGUUGAGGACGUUGACAAGGACAGACGUUAUGCAAUUGAUGCUUGUAUUGUGCGCAUUAUGAAGAGCCGGAAGGUGCUUCCUCAUCAGCAGCUCGUGUUGGAGUGUGUUGAGCAAUUGAGCCGCAUGUUUAAGCCUGAUUUCAAAGCAAUCAAAAAG
rnacentral:misc_RNA from 1 species